UAUCUCUUGUUCUCAUCUUUUCCUGACAUCUGGAAAAGGCAUGUGAGGCCUGUCAUUGCCCUCUGCUUGUCAAAGGGCACUACACAUAUUUUCAGUUCUGCCAUAUUGAAACAGGAGUCCAGUGUAGAAGGUACAGAGAAAAGACUAAGGAAGUCAAGAGAAGACAGGGCCUUCACUAAGUCAUCUUACAACAUCGGAUGAGUGAUUCACAUUUUUCUCAUAAUAGCAUUUGCCUUCCAGUUUUAAAGUAUAAAGAAUGAAGGUAUCUUUACCAUUAGGAGAAUAUGUUUCUGUUAAAUGUGUGCCUAAAUGAUAAGGCAAAACUGUGAAUUUAACUACUAUUACUACUACUACUACUUAUUAUUAUUAUUGUUGUUGUUGUUGUUGUUGUUGUUGUUCUUGUUGUUAUUACUACUACUACUUAUUGUUAUUAUUAUUAUUAUUAUUAUUAUUAUUAAAUACUGUGCAGCAUUGGAAGUUCUGUGUUGCCUGGCUCGAUGAAAGUCUGUCAGUGGAAGAGUAUAGAACUUGGACUUAAAACUGAGGAUACCACCCUGUGUCUAUCAUAUGAAUAAAACUUGAUCAUUAGUAUUUUUAAAAGG
rnacentral:lncRNA from 1 species